rnacentral:tRNA from 1 species
GCCUGGGUGGCUGGAACUGGUAGACGCGGCGGGCUUAAAACCCGUUGUCCUUCGGGGCGUCUCGGUUCGACUCCGAGUCCAGGCA